UAGGCUAUAACAGAGUGUUUGAAAGGGGAAUCAGUGAGUAACCGAGAGCUAAGGGGGAUGUGAGGUCUAUACACAUUGGAAAUUGGAAAAUAAGAAGAAAGGUAGAUGAAGUAGUGGCCAUUCAUUGGUCAGUAGCUAGCUAUGUAGGUGCGCAGGUGUGUGAGGCCAUUUGGCCAAUGUUUGCAGGUUCUGGUGUGCCGGUACGAUGAUUAGUGGCAUGUAGUGUGUGUAUAUAUUGAUGCAUGGGUGUGUGAGGCCAUUUGGCCGAUGCUUGUAGGUUUUGGUAUGCCGAUGUGGUGAGUGGUGGCACGCAGUGUGUGUAUGGCCACUCAGUGGUCGAUAAGGCACUCAUCUGGUCAGGUAUGUGUGAGGCCGUUGGUCGAUAUUGGCAGGUUCCGAAGUGGCCAUUCAAUGGUCAUUUGAUGCUGGGAUGGUGGUGUGUCGGGGGUGCCAAUAUGAUGAUGUGAGGUGCUGGUGCACAUGGCUACUUUGUGGCUGACAUUUGUUUGUUGUGGUUGUUGUUGGGGUGAGACCCAGGAUGCAACAAUGGUGUGUGUGUGUGUGGUCCUUUUAGGCCAGUGUUUGCAAAUUAGAAUGUGAGGAACUAGUUGUUUGUGUUGGGAGGUUGCAUACGUGAG
rnacentral:lncRNA from 1 species